rnacentral:rRNA from 1 species
GACGGAGGAUGCAAGUGUUAUCCGGAAUCACUGGGCGUAAAGCGUCUGUAGGUGGUUCAAUAAGUCAACUGUUAAAUCUUGAGGCUCAACCUCAAAAUCGCAGUCGAAACUAUUAGGCUAGAGUAUAGUAGGGGUAAAGGGAAUUUCCAGUGGAGCGGUGAAAUGACGUAGAGAUUGGAAAGAACACCGAUGGCGAAGGCACUUUACUGGGCUAUUACUAACACUCAGAGACGAAAGCUAGGGUAGCAAAUGGG